UCGAGGAUCUUUGGCAAUGAGCGCAAGCUUGACCAAGCGACGCCGCGUGGAUGAUGAAGGCCUUCGGGUUGUAAAAUCCUGUCGAGGGGGACGAAGCCGCAAGGUUGACCGAUCCCUGGAGGAAGGGCGGGCUAAGUUCGUGCCAGCAGCCGCGGUAAGACGAACUGCCCAAACGUUGUUCGGAAUCACUGGGCUUAAAGGGCGCGUAGGCGGCAUUCCAAGUCAGGGGUGAAAUCCGGCAGCUCAACUGUCGAAGUGCCUUUGAUACUGGAGUGCUCGAGGGAGGUAGGGGUCUGUGGAACUUCUGGUGGAGCGGUGAAAUGCGUUGAUAUCAGAAGGAACGCCGGUGGCGAAAGCGACGGACUGGACCUUUUCUGACGCUGAGGCGCGAAAGCUAGGGGAGCAAACGGGAUUAGAUACCCCUGUAGUCC
rnacentral:rRNA from 1 species